AUUCUGCCCAAGCGGAGAAGGAUGAGAAGCUUCGACUAAGGUUCGACUCGAGCGCCAGCGAGAGAGCGUUGCCGCAGGCAACGACCUGA
rnacentral:sRNA from 1 species